AGAACCAUUGUGAGUUUGUUACAACUGGCUUUGGGCUGCAUUCUCAAACACACACUCUUUAAGUCAUAAGGCAGUUGGAUUUGGUACUGGUGAAGGUUGAAAUCAUGGUUCUGAAGAAUGAGUUAUGAUGGAAGUGAUACAAUGAUGGCACAUUUAACAUCAUACCAGAAUUAAAGAGUCAAUAUAAAGAUUCUUGAAUGAUCAACUUCCAUUGGGGAUGAAGGAUGAAUGAAAAAUCUGUAAAUGAUAUUUUGAUUCAAAUUAAGUAAUAUUUUAUAUAUAAUGAUUCAGAAACAUGCUUGCUACCCAAUCUCGCAUGUAUUAAAAAUUAUGCAUGUUGCAUAAACAGUAUCUGUUGCAUUAGAUUAGAAUAAAACUUUAUUAUGAUAUAAAGAAUUUUUUUAAAAAAUAAAAUUAAUAUGACA